GGAGGGGGCGAGCGUUAUUCGGAGUUAUUGGGCGUAAAGGGCGCGUAGGCGGCUUGGUAAGUCAAAGGUGAAAUCCCUCGGCUCAACUGAGGAAUUGCCUUUGAAACUGCCUGGCUCGAGGCCGGGAGGGGGUAGCGGAAUUCCCAGUGUAGCGGUGAAAUGCGUAGAUAUUGGGAGGAACACCGGUGGCGAAGGCGGCUACCUGGGCCGGUUCUGGCGCUGAUGCGCGAAAGCGUGGGGAGCAAACAGGAUUAGAUACCCUGGUAGUCCACGCUGUAAACGAUGGGUGCUCGGUGUCGCGGGUAUCGACCCCUGCGGUGCCUUAGCUAACGCGUUAAGCACCCCGCCUGGGGAGUACGGUCGCAAGGCUG
rnacentral:rRNA from 1 species